GUUAAUUUGGCAGUAUUGAACGUAGGUAACUAGCAUUCUGAUCCAACAAGUAUUUGGGAAAGAGCACCCUGACGAAAAUCCAUCAGAAGAUGAGUGAAUGUUGGAAAACGACCUGUGCACAGUUACUCAGAUUCUGAACUGAAAGUACUAAAGCGUGAACUGACAAUUAUGAUCUCUUUCUUUACCGUUUUUGGCUCACGUUAUUAAUUAAAACAGAGAACUCCAGAUAGGAAGAAUAAUUUACCCACUGAAGAACUUGCAUAUAUGUUAAUUUUCUUUUUAAGUUGAUAGUAUACCAUAGGUAACUUACAUUGGAAAGAGUAGGAAGUGUUACUGAAAUCAACAACGAGGGAUUAGGUAGUACGGUUUAAUAGGCUUUGUUGUAUAUGAAAUGGCUGGCUAACAGCUUGUUCUAAAUAGGAAAGCGUAAUUGUCAGACUACUAGUUUAUCUUGCAUCUCGGUAGACACAUCAGCUAGUCUCAGAAUGUUUUCCAUCCAGAUUUGUUUUAGAAACUGUAGAGUUUUGUAGGUUUAGUCCCAUACUGGACAUGCCACUGGCCUUGUGGAGAGUUGGGAUCUGAAUCCCAUCUUUUUCCUUUGUCUUUUCCUUUGCCUUUUUUAUGUUUUUAAUUUUUUCUCUUCAUUUCUCCUUUUCAGAAGUGAGACGUCUCAAUGGACACAUCAUUGUGACAGUGAGGGUGCUCCAAAGAGACACUGACUCUGCUCCUCUCAGCCACUGUCAAGGGCUAUGUGCAGAUCUGAAAGCACAACAGGGAUCAAUGGGAAUCCAAUGUGGACAAAAAGGCUGCUUCUUCUUAGUUUGCUGUGCUUCUAAAGGGGACCAUCCAUCCUAGUGGGUUUCUGUCUGACAAUGCCCUGGACCCUUCUCAUUGUUUUCAGCAACAAAGAAAAACCUGCCUAGUUGCCAUGCAUAUCCAAAGGUUGGCCAGAGUCAAAAUUAUUUAUUUAAAAUAUGUAGGGCACGCCGUUCUUUGAGCAGCCUGGUAGGAGCUUUCAUUUUUUUUUUUCUCAGCUCCUUUGGAUU
rnacentral:lncRNA from 1 species